rnacentral:lncRNA from 1 species
ACUCUAUGUAAGUGUGUUUUUGUAAAUAAAAUUUAUUUUUCUUUCAUAUUACUAUUUUUAAUUAUGUUUUAAGCUUUCUUUAUAUUUUAAGCUUGUUUAUUUUACUGUUCAUUACUGUAGUUGUACUAUAGCAAAUUACUGUAGCAUAUGCACUGUUCAGUACUAUAGAAGAAAUACUGUGCAGUACUGUUGCAUACUGUAGCAUGUUACUAUAGC